rnacentral:rRNA from 1 species
CGAGCGGACUGAUGGGAGCUUGCUCCCUGAUGUUAGCGGCGGACGGGUGAGUAACACGUGGGCAACCUGCCUGUAAGACUGGGAUAACUCCGGGAAACCGGGGCUAAUACCGGAUAACCCGUUCCACCUCAUGGUGGAGCGGUAAAAGAUGGCCUCUGGCUAUCACUUACAGAUGGGCCCGCGGCGCAUUAGCUAGUUGGUAAGGUAACGGCUUACCAAGGCGACGAUGCGUAGCCGACCUGAGAGGGUGAUCGGCCACACUGGGACUGAGACACGGCCCAGACUCCUACGGGAGGCAGCAGUAGGGAAUCUUCCGCAAUGGACGAAAGUCUGACGGAGCAACGCCGCGUGAGUGAUGAAGGUUUUCGGAUCGUAAAGCUCUGUUGUUAGGGAAGAACAAGUGCCGUUUGAAUAAGGCGGCACCUUGACGGUACCUAACCAGAAAGCCACGGCUAACUACGUGCCAGCAGCCGCGGUAAUACGUAGGUGGCAAGCGUUGUCCGGAAUUAUUGGGCGUAAAGCGCGCGCAGGCGGUCUCUUAAGUCUGAUGUGAAAGCCCACGGCUCAACCGUGGAGGGUCAUUGGAAACUGGGAGACUUGAGUACAGAAGAGGAGAGUGGAAUUCCACGUGUAGCGGUGAAAUGCGUAGAUAUGUGGAGGAACACCAGUGGCGAAGGCGACUCUCU